rnacentral:rRNA from 1 species
GACGAACUGUGCAAACGUUAUUCGGAAUCACUGGGCUUGAAGAGUGCGUAGGCGGUUUUGUAAGUAGGGUGUGAAAGCCCCCGGCUCAACCGGGGAAUUGCGCCUUAAACUGCAAGGCUGGAGUGAGGUAGGGGUGUGUGGAACUUCCAGUGGAGCGGUGAAAUGUGUUGAUAUUGGAAGGAACACCAGUGGCGAAGGCGACUACCUGGCCUGUUCUUGACGCUGAGGCGCGAAAGCUAGGGGAGCAAACGGG